rnacentral:rRNA from 1 species
GACGAACGCUGGCGGCGUGCCUAAUACAUGCGAGUUGAGCGAUGAAGAUUGGUGCUUGCACCAAUUUGAAGAGCAGCGAACGGGUGAGUAACGCGUGGGGAAUCUGCCUUUGAGCGGGGGACAACAUUUGGAAACGAAUGCUAAUACCGCAUAACAACUUUAAACAUAAGUUUUAAGUUUGAAAGAUGCAAUUGCAUCACUCAAAGAUGAUCCCGCGUUGUAUUAGCUAGUUGGUGAGGUAAAGGCUCACCAAGGCGAUGAUACAUAGCCGACCUGAGAGGGUGAUCGGCCACAUUGGGACGGAGACACGGCCCAAACUCCUACGGGAGGCAGCAGUAGGGAAUCUUCGGCAAUGGACGAAAGUCUGACCGAGCAACGCCGCGUGAGUGAAGAAGGUUUUCGGAUCGUAAAACUCUGUUGGUAGAGAAGAACGUUGGUGAGAGUGGAAAGCUCAUCAAGUGACGGUAACUACCCAGAAAGGGACGGCUAACUACGUG